rnacentral:rRNA from 1 species
UACGUAGGGGGCAAGCGUUGUCCGGAAUUAUUGGGCGUAAAGAGCGUGUAGGCGGCUCGGUAAGUCCGCUGUGAAAGUCCAGGGCUCAACCCUGGGAUGCCGGUGGAUACUGUCGGGCUCGAGUCCGGAAGAGGAGUGUGGAAUUCCUGGUGUAGCGGUGAAAUGCGCAGAUAUCAGGAGGAACACCAAUGGCGAAGGCAGCACUCUGGGACGUGACUGACGCUGAGACGCGAAAGCGUGGGGAGCAAACAGG